CAAACACAUGACUGACUUUCUGUUUCUCUUCAGGGACAACCUGGAACAAGAGGAUUUCCAGGAUUUCCAGGUCCAAUUGGGUUGGAUGGCAAGCCUGGACAGAACGGACAAAAGGGAGACAUGGGUCAGCGUGGCGUUAAAGGACUCCAAGGGGAGCCAGGACUCAAGGGGCAAAAGGGUGUAUGUGGAGACUACACACACCGG